rnacentral:rRNA from 1 species
CCAAUAGCGUAUAUUAAAGUUGUUGCAGUUAAAAAGCUCGUAGUUGAAUUUCGGGACUAAUAUGUCGGUCGUACUUUGUACGUACUAGCAUUAUUGGUUUCUCCCUUCUGACGAACCACGAUGUCAUUAAUUUGGUGUCGUGGGAAAUCAGGACUGUUACUUUGAAAAAAUUAGAGUGUUUAAAGCAAGCUCGUGCUUGA